GGCGUGCACUUUAAGCCAAUCCUGUAAUCAGCUAGUACCACUGCUUUAGCGAAUCUUUCAGUUAAUCCAUUUACAAAAUUGCCCGAGCAAGCCCUCCCAUUUUAGAACAUACACGUGACAAAAGUCUACUGAAGCGUUUUGAAUAGGUACGAUAGAUGCGUGUGGAUCCGAUUAGGACACUUGUUGCGCUUUCUCUUGGAUACAGUCUAAGCUUAAGCAGAAUUUCGAAACGGACCCCGCCGGCCCGGAGUGUUGUUCUAUCACGAUUUCAAGAUAGGAUGAUCAGACUCGAUUCAUUGCGGAUCUGCCUCCGAACAACCCUGUAGCCUUAUGGCACUGUGUUUCUAACAUUUGUUCCAUUGUGGCACACAUACAACACUAAGUAAACGGCAAAUGUGAGUCAUAGUGGAAAGUUUCCACGAUCAUUUAUUUGAAGGAAAAAAGGAAGCUGAGACCUAGUUCCGGUUUGCGUAUAUUUCGAGGAACCUUACUGCACAGUUCACGUAUUGACAAUGCAAGUGUUCAUAUAAUUUGCUUCUUUUGUUGGCACGAAGGGAAAUUGCUAAUGUUAUAUUACAUCAUUAACGUCUGGUAUACUCAACGGACUGUUUCGAAUUCGUAACCGUGUGCCUGGGAGUGAUAGGGCCAGUAUUGUCAUAAUGGAACCUCGCGUUUUGGAGCUUCUAAUUGCGGCCUUGUCAAAGGAUCCCCUGUGGUUUGCUAUCUACUCAAGCUCCAUAUUAAUUCUUUUCUCGCUUAUCGUGGGCUGUCAGACAAUAAUUCGCCUCACGCUUUUCAUAUGCGUCUUGCCGUCAUUGCGUUCCCUCAGGACGGGCCAGGAUGAUGCGUUCUGGACCAGGUACUGGAUGGUCGUAGGGCUGGCAAGCAAUCUUGGCCUCCCCUCAGUUGUUCGAGCGGCCCUAUUCAUCUGGUGCGCAGUUCCGCAUAAUGCCAAUGGAACCGAUAUGAUCUUCAACCUUGCCGAAAAAACCUUUAUCUAAAAAAUCCUUGCCAUAUUAAUUUGCCAUAAGCAUCGUGACAAACACAUAUAUAUGAAAAAUACAGAGGCAAGAAUGUUAAGUACACGCACAUUUGGAAUGCUUUACGAUGUACGGUUGUGGAGUUUUUUUAAACCAUACUAUUAAACCAUAAGGUGUGCGCACUUGACUUCAUAGCCUAGCAACUUUCAAAAAAGGCAGUGUUUAGACACAUGAAAACUUAUGAAAACGAACGGGUCCAAAUACUAAGUCAUUUAGAAAUUCAAGAGUUCCGUUCAAAGUCAAUCUUCAAGGCUUUACAUAAGCCUUUUAUAAGUAUUUUUUAAAAACUUUAACUGUAAAAUGUAGAAUUUUAGAUUCAAAACGAUAAUAUGACCAAUAUUGUCAUAAAUUUCGUAGCUCCCUAAUGUUAUACGCAAUAAAAUUAGCUUGACAACAUGUUGAUUCAGUUAAAUAGCUGUCUGAGCAUGCUAAACGAAAACAGCUACUUACAGUAUAGCAUUCUGUCAUUUAGUGAGUUCUUAUUAAAUGCCUUUGUUUCGUGAGAUUUUCAAUGAGCGAUA